UGAGGAAUAUUGGUCAAUGGACGAGAGUCUGAACCAGCCAAGUAGCGUGCAGGAUGACGGCCCUAUGGGUUGUAAACUGCUUUUGUUUGGGAAUAAUCGACAUUACGUGUAAUGUUUUGCAUGUACCAUAUGAAUAAGGACCGGCUAAUUCCGUGCCAGCAGCCGCGGUAAUACGGAAGGUUCGGGCGUUAUCCGGAUUUAUUGGGUUUAAAGGGAGCGUAGGCCGUUUGGUAAGCGUGUUGUGAAAUGUAGGAGCUCAACUUCUAGAUUGCAGCGCGAACUGUCAGACUUGAGUACGCACAACGUAGGCGGAAUUCAUGGUGUAGCGGUGAAAUGCUUAGAUAUCAUGAAGAACUCCGAUUGCGAAGGCAGCUUACGGGAGCGCAACUGACGCUGAAGCUCGAAGGUGCGGGUAUCGAACAGG
rnacentral:rRNA from 1 species